GCGGGGGAAAGAUUUAUCGCUAUUAGAUGAGCCUAUGUCGGAUUAGCUAGUUGGUGGGGUAAUGGCCUACCAAGGCAGUGAUCUGUAGCUGGUCUGAGAGGAUGAUCAGCCACACUGGAACUGAGACACGGUCCAGACUCCUACGGGAGGCAGCAGUGGGGAAUAUUGGACAAUGGGCGCAAGCCUGAUCCAGCUAUGCCGCGUGAGUGAGGAAGGCCUUAGGGUUGUAAAACUCUUUCAGUAGGGAAGAUAAUGACGGUACCUACAGAAGAAGUCCCGGCAAACUCCGUGCCAGCAGCCGCGGUAAUACGGAGGGGGCAAGCGUUGUUCGGAAUUAUUGGGCGUAAAGGGCAUGUAGGCGGUUUGGUAAGUUAAAGGUGAAAUACCAGGGCUCAACCCUGGGGCUGCUUUUAAUACUGCAGGACUAGAGUCCGGAAGAGGAUA
rnacentral:rRNA from 1 species